GGCCUUUCAUUUUUCACGAUCGGUCCCUAUAUCUGUUUCGUCGGCUCGACCGACUAUGGCGAUAAACAGGCGAUGAAAUAAGCCGUUCGGACCCGGGGGCGGUACCCGGCGCCUCCACCAAAAACCGCUCUGCGAAGAGCGGCUUUUGCUGGGGGCGAAAUAGGAUCGACGAAGNNNNNNNNNNGCAUUGUACCACCGUUAUCGGGCUGAACUUAUAGUUGCCAACGACAACUAUGCGGAAGCACGUCUCGCCGCGUAAGCGGUGCGAUAGCUUCAAAUCAAGCCCUAGUGGUUCGCACUUCUAGGCGGGGUCCGGAGGUACCUGGCAACAGAAACCUCCACU
rnacentral:tmRNA from 1 species